rnacentral:rRNA from 1 species
UACGGAGGGAGCUAGCGUUAUUCGGAAUUACUGGGCGUAAAGCGCACGUAGGCGGCUUUGUAAGUUAGAGGUGAAAGCCUGGAGCUCAACUCCAGAAUUGCCUUUUAAGACUGCAUCGCUUGAAUCCAGGAGAGGGUGAGUGGAAAUUCCGAGUGUAGAGGGUGAAAAUUCGUAGAUAUUCGGAAAGAACACCAGUGGCGAAGGCGGGCUCACUGGACUGGUAUUGACGCUG